AUGAUCGCAGGCUAUAUUCAUCUGGAAGUUUUCAGAGUAUUGCAUUAAAGAACUGCGCACAUUAUCAAUUAUUUCAGUAGCGCAUUUGAGGAGAGAACAAACUUCAGAUUCAGCGUAACCUUUGUUUUAGAUAAAGGAAUAAAAUAGAACUACAAAUACAAAGAAGAGCAGGAAACAAAAUUAAAUAUGGGAAGAGACACAGACAAGCUUAAAAUAAUUAGCAUGAAUGCUUCUGGAAGAAAGGGAAGACAAUACCAGAAUUAUCGAAAGUCUUAUCUUAACGAUAUAAUCGGAGACAAUGAACCCGAUAUAUUAUUUUUACCGGGAGACGAUCCUGAUAUGUCUUCACCAGUUUUAAAAGAUUAUCGACAAACACAAGUCCAUCACAACCACGAAACGGUACUGUUGUACGAUACGAAGAGGUUGCAAUUGCAAACCCCAAACUGGUACAAUAUAAUACCAUCCUUAGUUGUUCCUGGCAUUGCGCAAGGCAAAUUGAUGUACCCCUUGGUCGACAUCCUAGCUCCUAAACCGACUCAACAUAUCGUAAAGCAGUUUCAUUGUAUAAGUUGGCAUUGGGAGCUUACUCAAACAACAUCACAGGAACGCUAUCAGUUUGCGUUUCGUUACUUAUGGUUGGCGCAAUAUCUUGGUUGGAUUUCUGGAGUGGAGAUAUUGAUUGGAGGCGAUUUUAAUUUGCCAAUUCAACAGAUACAAAAACUCCUAGCUGAGCAUAAUACACUCGUCCAAAAGCAAGUUGAAGAUAUCAAACCGUUUUUCAGGGAAAUGGGAUAUAUGGAUGAAAUGACUGAUAACGUAAAUCGCCCAGGACGUCGACUCCGACAACUAAAACUGCACCAGUGUAAAUCUGUUGCAGGUAUUAACCAAGAAACGGACUACUUUGUUGCAUCAAAAGAAAUGCAGCUAUGUAAGACUGAAAUGAUGACAGCCUCCACCCUUCCUGGAAGAUGUGCAACACUAACAGUAACCAAGCCAGCUACACAGAGUUACUGUCCAUUGCCAACGAAAACGGAAAUGUGUAUUCCAUCACGACCACCAAGACACAACGGUGGUUAAAAUCUUUUCCUAUUUCUUUUUUUAAAAUCACCUGUACAAAGAUUUCAAGUAUUAUUCGUAAAGGUUGUCUUUCUUUUUUAUCCGAUUUCUUUUUUAAAAGUAUGUAUGUAUAUUUUAGUAUUCAAAUUAGAGAGAUAAAAAAGGUAACAAAUCCUAGAAAAAAAAAAUAAAUAUAAAAGUUUUUAGUUUAUUAAGUAAUAACUAUUCUGUAUAUUAAGACUGUUUUACUAUAUUAUUUAAAUUUUUUAUGUGUUCAUAAUGUGAUUUCGUUAUCAUAGAUCUGAUGGAUUUGGAACGAUGGCAUUGUGUUUACACUUAAAUUUAAAACCUUAUAUGACUUGAUAAAGAAUAUCAUUAUAGAAUAUACAUAUUCUAUUACUAUUAGGGUGUUUUAUGAUCUUAAUCCACUGUGUAAUAUUGUUACAAGAAACUUCAUUUACUUCGUUUGACAAAAUGAUUUAUAUGUGGUACAUGUAUUACACAAUGUAUUUGUAGAAUAUUAUCGUCCUCCUUAGGAAAUAUAGUUUUAAUAUGAAUUUAGUUAAAUAUGCCAGUAAGAUGUUUUUGGGGUUUGGAGACAAAUGUAUUUUUUUGUAUUGUAUUUUUUUUCAUAAAUAAAGUUACUGUUAAUAUA